UACGGGGGGGGCAAGCGUUGUUCGGAAUUACUGGGCGUAAAGGGCUCGUAGGUGGCCAACUAAGUCGGACGUGAAAUCCCUCAGCUUAACUGGGGAACUGCGUCCGAUACUGGAUGGCUUGAGUUUGGGAGAGGGAUGCGGAAUUCCAGGUGUAGCGGUGAAAUGCGUAGAGAUGUGGAGGAACACCGAUGGCGAAGGCAGCCUUCUGGGCCAACACUGACGCUCAUGCACGAAAGCGUGGGGAGCAAACAGG
rnacentral:rRNA from 1 species